UACGAAGGGGGGCUAGCGUUGUUCGGAAUUACUGGGCGUAAAGCGCGCGCAGGUGGUCUUUCAAGUCAGUGGUGAAAGCCCGGAGCUCAACUCCGGAAAUGCCAUUGAAACUGUAAGACUUGAGGAUGAGAGAGGUGAGUGGAAUUCCCCAGUGUAGAGGUGAAAUUCGUAGAUAUUGGGAAGAACACCGGUGGCGAAGGCGGGCUCACUGGCUCAUAUCUGACGCUCAGGCGCGCAGCGUGGGGAUCAAACAGG
rnacentral:rRNA from 1 species